UCCGUAGGUAGGUAACCUGCGGAGGGAUCAUUACUGAGUUUACGCUCUAUAACCCUUUGUGAACAUACCUAUAACUGUUGCUUCGGCGGGUAGGGUCUCCGCGACCCUCCCGGCCUCCCGCCCCCGGGCGGGUCGGCGCCCGCCGGAGGAUAACCAAACUCUGAUUCAACGACGUUUCUUCUGAGUGGUACAAGCAAAUAAUCAAAACUUUUAACAACGGAUCUCUUGGUUCUGGCAUCGAUGAAGAACGCAGCGAAAUGCGAUAAGUAAUGUGAAUUGCAGAAUUCAGUGAAUCAUCGAAUCUUUGAACGCACAUUGCGCCCGCCAGCAUUCUGGCGGGCAUGCCUGUUCGAGCGUCAUUUCAACCCUCAAGCUCCGCUUGGUGUUGGGGCCCUACAGCUGAUGUAGGCCCUCAAAGGUAGUGGCGGACCCUCCCGGAGCCUCCUUUGCGUAGUAACUUUACGUCUCGCACUGGGAUCCGGAGGGACUCUUGCCGUAAAACCCCCCAAUUUUCCAAAGGUUGACCUCGGAUCAGGUAGGAAUACCCGCUGAACUUAAGCAUAUCAAUAAGCGGAGGA
rnacentral:rRNA from 1 species